rnacentral:rRNA from 1 species
CAGAGGGUGCGAGCGUUGUCCGGAAUCACUGGGCGUAAAGGGCGCGUAGGCGGCUUUUCAAGCGUGCGGUGAAAGCUCGGGGCUUAACUCCGAGUCUGCCGUGCGAACUGGGAGGCUUGAGUCUGGUAGAGGUCGAUGGAAUUCCGGGUGUAGCGGUGGAUGCGUAGAGAUCCGGAAGAACACCGGUGGCGAAGGCGGUCGACUGGGCCAGAACUGACGCUGAGGCGCGACAGCGUGGGGAGCAAACAGGAUUAGAUACCCUGGUAGUCCACGCCGUAAACGAUGGGCACUAGGUCCUUGGGGGAGCGACCCCUUGAGGGCCGGCGCUAACGCAUUAAGUGCCCCGCCUGGGGAGUACGGCCGCAAGGCUG